GUACUGGUGUACUCGAUACUGUUAUUAAAUCUUUGUUCCUAAUUUAUAAACAGGGAUUGAGUAUCUUAAAGUAGGUGCGCACGCCUAAUUAUUUAGGAAGCCUAAUGCUUUAGUAUCAAACCCACUUGAACUCAAGGGUUCAAGGAAAAUUAAUAGUAACGGUAUACCGGUAU
rnacentral:other from 1 species